GAUGAAGAACGUAGCGAAAUGCGAUACGUAAUGUGAAUUGCAAAUUCAGUGAAUCAUCGAGUCUUUGAACGCACAUUGCGCCCCCUGGUAUUCCGGGGGGCAUGCCUGUCCGAGCGUCAUUGCUGCCCUCAAGCACGGCUUGUGUGUUGGGCCCCGUCCUCCGAUCCCGGGGGACGGGCCCGAAAGGCAGCGGCGGCACCGCGUCCGGUCCUCGAGCGUAUGGGGCUUUGUCACCCGCUCUGUAGGCCCGGCCGGCGCUUGCCGAUCAACCCAAAUUUUUAUCCAGGUUGACCUCGGAUCAGGUAGGGAUACCCGCUGAACUUAAGCAUACAAAAGCGGAGGA
rnacentral:misc_RNA from 1 species